rnacentral:lncRNA from 1 species
AACCAUCUCCUUGGGACAAAAUCAACUUUUUGGGGUCAAAAACCAUUUCCUCAGCUCAAAACCAUCUCACCGGGUCAGAAGCCAUCUCCUUGGGUGAAAAACCACCUCUUUAGGCUCCAAACCCACCUUGUUUGGGCUCCAAAACAUCUCUUUGCAUUCAAAACCAUCUUCUCGGGAUCAGAAACCAUUUUGGGCUCCAAAACCAUUUUCUUGGGUCAAAAAACAUCUCCUUUGGCCAAAACUUGGGUCAAAAAACCAUCGUGGUCUCCAAAACCAUCUCCUUGGGCUCCAAAACCACUUCCCUGGGCUCCAAAACCACCUCCCCGGGCUCCAAAACCACCUCCCUGGGCUCCAAACCCAUCUCCUUGGCUCCAAAUCCAUCUCCUUGGUUCCAAACCCAUCUCCUUGAGCCAAACCCAUCUCCUCGGCUCCAAACCCAUCUCCUUGGCUCCAAACCCAUCUCCUUGUCUCCAAACCCAUCUCCUUGGCUCCAAACCCAUCUCCUUGGGCCAAACCCAUCUCCUUGUCUCCAAACCCAUCUCCUUGUCUCCAAACCCACCUCCUUGUCUCCAAACCCAUCUCCUUGGGUCAAACCCAUCUCCUUGGGCCAAACCCAUCUCCUUGGGCCAAACCCAUCUCCUUGGGUCAAACCCAUCUCCUUGGCUCCAAACCCAUCUCCUUGCUCCAAACCCAUCUCCUUGGCUCCAAACCCAUCUCCUUGGCUCCAAACCCAUCUCCUUGGCUCCAAACCCAUCUCCUUGUCUCCAAACCCAUCUCCUUGUCUCCAAACCCAUCUCCUUGAGCCAAACCCAUCUCCUUGAGCCAAACCCAUCUCCUUGGUUCCAAACCCAUCUCCUUGAGCCAAACCCAUCUCCUUGGCUCCAAACCCAUCUCCUUGCACCAAACCCAUCUCCUUGGUUCCAAACCCAUCCCCUUGGGCCAAACCCAUCUCCUUGGGCCAAACCCAUCUCCUUGGGCACCAAACCUAUCUCCUUGGCUCCAAACCCAUCUCCUUGGGCUCCAAACCCAUCUCCUUGGCUCCAAACCCAUCUCCUUGGGCACCAAACCCAUCUCCUUGGGCUCCAAAUCAUCUCCUUGGCUCCAAACCCAUCUCCUCUGGCCGAACCCAUCUCCUUGGGCUCCAAACCCAUCUCCUUGGCUCCAAACCCAUCUCCUUGGCUCCAAACCCAUCUCCUUGGCUCCAAACCCAUCUCCUUGCAUCAAACCCAUCUCCUGGGCUCCAAACCCAUCUCCUUGGCUCCAAACCCACCUCCUUGGGCUCCAAACCCAUCUCCUUGGCUCCAAACCCAUCUCCUUGGGCUCAAACCCAUCUCCUUGGCUCCAAACCCAUCUCCUUUGGGCACCAGAACCAUCUCCUUGGUUCCAAACCCAUCUCCUUGGGCCAAACCCAUCUCCUUGGGCUCAAACCCAUCUCCUUGGUUCCAAACCCAUCUCCUUGCUCCAAACCCAUCUCCUUGGCUCCAAACCCAUCUCCUUGGCUCAAGCCCCACCUGA